UACGUAGGGGGCAAGCGUUGUCCGGAUUUAUUGGGCGUAAAGAGCGUGUAGGCGGCUUGGUAGGUCAGCUGUGAAAACUCGAGGCUCAACCUCGAGAUGUCGGCGGAAACCACUUGGCUAGAGUCCGGAAGAGGAGAGUGGAAUUCCUGGUGUAGCGGUGAAAUGCGCAGAUAUCAGGAAGAACACCUAUGGCGAAGGCAGCUCUCUGGGACGGUACUGACGCUGAGACGCGAAAGCGUGGGGAGCGAACAGG
rnacentral:rRNA from 1 species